UACCGCAACUUUAACGAAUUCUCCGUACAUUUCUUGGAACGUCAUAUGUUUGGUAUCAUCGUAGUACGGAUCAAUUAUCGUAACCAUCCAAUCUUGAACUCCAAAUAGUAAUAAGACAAAAUGUCUUUGAUGGGUACUACACACCGGCAUGAAUAUGUAUUGGCAUUCGUGUAAUGGUGGGCCAACAUCUUGGUUCACAUACGGAUUGCAAAAACAUAAUGUAUCAAUCUCUUUAGUUAUGGGCACAUAGCUCUGUCCUAGAUGCAUGAAGAAUGAAUUCAGAAAACCAAAUUUGGCCCACCUUUUUAUUCUCCGUGACCUGUAGUAUUCCUCUCUGUCUCGUAGCAACAACAUAUAAGCAUCGAGGACAUGUUCGAAAAUCCAUCCACCAGGUCCUAAGGAAUGCAAUGCAUUGUGUUCUAAAACAUAUAACCCACGUGGAUGUGACAAAGGAUAUAAAUUCUCUUCCGAGGCCACCACGUUUCCAAACAUAUGUUUAUUGAUAAAUGUAUCCUUCCAAUCUUUCAGCUUUUUGGUAAUGGACCCUUUUGGUCCAUAAGAGAUGUGAUCUACCGCAUUUUGUACUUAAUUGAGACCGAAGUGUACAUUAUUAGUAUUGUGCAUGUCAUUUUUAGUUAAAAAUAUGAAUAUAAAUAAUGCAAAGCCUGCUUUAAUUAAAACCGUCAUUAUAUAUACCUUUGGUUCACAAUCUCCUGUGACGUUAGAAAGUCCCGCAAAAUCUAAGGUGGUUGGAAUGUAACACUCCUCAUAGGCUUGGGAGGUCGGGACGUAACACUCCUCAUAGGCUUUGGAGGUCAGAAUGUAACCCUCCUCGUAGGCUUGGGAGGUCGGAAUGUAACACUCCUCGUAGGCUUGGGAGGUGGGAAUGGAGCUCUCCUGCCAUGCUUGUGUGGUGGGUAUGUAGCUCUCUUGUACAACAUCCUCAGUUUGUUUCCCAAGCGGUUCAUUGAAUUGGGAGAAUUCGGACUGUGGUGCAAAAAUUAUGGGACCCAUCUGUGGAGGUAUUUGUAUCCCUCUUGCUUCGAAGUCGUAUAGACUGUAUUGGUGAUCCCAAUUAUGUUUUUGCAGAAUCAACUCGGGAGGCAGCUGAGUAAGUGCUGAAAAUUUAUCAAGCAAAGACUUUGCACUCUCAACCUGUCAUGUAAGAUGAA
rnacentral:lncRNA from 1 species